CGGACAGAAGGGAGCUUGCUCCCGGAUGUUAGCGGCGGACGGGCGAGUAACACGUGGGUAACCUGCCUGUAAGACUGGGAUAACUCCGGGAAACCGGAGCUAAUACCGGAUAGUUCCUUGAACCGCAUGGUUCAAGGAUGAAAGACGGUUUCGGCUGUCACUUACAGAUGGACCCGCGGCGCAUUAGCUAGUUGGUGAGGUAACGGCUCACCAAGGCGACGAUGCGUAGCCGACCUGAGAGGGUGAUCGGCCACACUGGGACUGAGACACGGCCCAGACUCCUACGGGAGGCAGCAGUAGGGAAUCUUCCGCAAUGGACGAAAGUCUGACGGAGCAACGCCGCGUGAGUGAUGAAGGUUUUCGGAUCGUAAAGCUCUGUUGUUAGGGAAGAACAAGUGCAAGAGUAACUGCUUGCACCUUGACGGUACCUAACCAGAAAGCCACGGCUAACUACGUGCCAGCAGCCGCGGUAAUACGUAGGUGGCAAGCGUUGUCCGGAAUUAUUGGGCGUAAAGGGCUCGCAGGCGGUUUCUUAAGUCUGAUGUGAAAGCCCCCGGCUCAACCGGGGAGGGUCAUUGGAAACUGGGAAACUUGAGUGCAGAAGAGGAGAGUGGAAUUCCACGUGUAGCGGUGAAAUGCGUAGAGAUGUGGAGGAACACCAGUGGCGAAGGCGACUCUCUGGUCUGUAACUGACGCUGAGGAGCGAAAGCGUGGGGAGCG
rnacentral:rRNA from 1 species